AACUUUUGGCAACGGAUCACUUGGCUUUUGCAUCGAUGAAGAACACCGUGAAAGUGUGAAACGUAAUGUGAAUUGCAGAAUUCAGUGAACCAUUGAAUCUUUGAACACACCUUUGCACCCCUUGGUAUUCUGAAGCACAUGCCUGUUUGAGUGUUGUGAAGUCCCUCAACCCUCCUCGCCGCACUUUUGCCGGGGGGCAGUCGGAUUUGAACGUUGCCCUUCUUUCUGGAGUGGCUCAUCUCGAAAUGCAUCAGCCAGGUCCCAACUUGGUCCCACAAGACAACAGUGUGAUAAACUCAUAUUCGCUUGCGUCAGUGGUGGCAAAUGGGCUGGCUCACAGUCAUCUUCGGACAGCAUAUUUCUAAUCCGUACCUCAAAUCAGGUAGGGCUACCUGCUGAACUUAAGCAUAUCAAUAAGCGGAGGCU
rnacentral:misc_RNA from 1 species